rnacentral:misc_RNA from 1 species
CUCCUUUCAAGGAUGUGUUCUGAUAAUGGUCUGGGCGACUGGACUGUUUUGGAAUGCUUCUGAAAAUAAAGUCCCUGCCUGCAGGAUCGGGCGGGGCACAGCCAGAGAGGCUGCCUGCACUUCGGUGUAACGCGCCGUCAACAUAUCCCUUCCAGCGACAAUCAAUGGACCCUUUUGGGGCUAGUAGCUCAGUUGGUUAGAGCACACGCUUGAUAAGCGUGGGGUCGGAGGUUCAAGUCCUCCCUGGCCCACCAGUUCUGCUGCGUGUCCAUGUUUUAUGGUCAUGCACCGAUGGGGGCGUAGCUCAGCUGGGAGAGCACCUGCUUUGCAAGCAGGGGGUCGUCGGUUCGAUCCCGUCCGCCUCCACCAUGAACUGGUGUCGAGAGGGUUGGGACAGGCCGCGGGGCCUGGGACUGGAGUGGUUGUCGCCGGAAGAUAAUGGAGAUCGGACGGAUACCUUGUGGAACCGCGUUGGCGGUGCACGGGGUGUUGCGGUCUGGUAAGUUUGCUCUUUGAUAAUGUGAAUAGGUUGGUGCGUUUGUGGACGUGCCUUUGUCACGGGUUGGUCUGACCCGUGUGAUGGUCCGGGCAGCCGGGGUAUCACAUGCUAGGUGACGGAGGCGUAUGCGUUCAUGAGCGAGUUAAGUGUUGAAUUGUGCGAUGCACUGCACUUUCUCUGUGCGGGUGCUGCUGCUUGAUCUGCUGGUUAUCUGACUGGUGGUUUGGGUGGAUGGCUCCUGUGCAUGUGUGGGCAAUGAGCGCGAUAAGGGCAUUCGGUGG